rnacentral:lncRNA from 1 species
GAAAAACAAGUGGACCCGCCAAGUCAGCGACUCGGGCGCGUAGUCGUCGUUCUCGUCGCCUUGUUUCCCGUGGGAAUCAAUGGGAAGGCUGCGCCGCCGGUCAGCCUUCCAUUGAUUCCUCACGGGCGACGCAGUGAAGGCGCGGGGCGACGCCCGUCCCGUCGGUUCCAUGCGUUCGCACGCCGCCGCUCCGCGUUCCAGCCCGCCCGCGCUAUAUAAGGCGACCUCCCCCCGUCGGUGGCCGCACACCUCUCCCACCGACGCUCUAUCCUCUUCAUCUUCGCCACUGGCCCCUUCUCCCCCCGAAAGAGAUGGCCGAACGCUA